GCAACCCUUAUCCUUUGUUGCCAGCGAUUAGGUCGGGAACUCAAAGGAGACUGCCAGUGAUAAACUGGAGGAAGGUGGGGAUGACGUCAAGUCAUCAUGGCCCUUACGACCAGGGCUACACACGUGCUACAAUGGCGCAUACAAAGAGAAGCGACCUCGCGAGAGCAAGCGGACCUCAUAAAGUGCGUCGUAGUCCGGAUUGGAGUCUGCAACUCGACUCCAUGAAGUCGGAAUCGCUAGUAAUCGUGGAUCAGAAUGCCACGGUGAAUACGUUCCCGGGCCUUGUACACACCGCCCGUCACACCAUGGGAGUGGGUUGCAAAAGAAGUAGGUAGCUUAACCUUCGGGAGGGCGCUUACCACUUUGUGAUUCAUGACUGGGGUGAAGUCGUAACAAGGUAACCGUAGGGGAACCUGCGGUUGGA
rnacentral:rRNA from 1 species